rnacentral:rRNA from 1 species
UGGGGAAUUUUGGACAAUGGGCGAAAGCCUGAUCCAGCAAUGCCGCGUGUGUGAAGAAGGCCUUCGGGUUGUAAAGCACUUUUGUCCGGAAAGAAAUCCUUGGCUCUAAUACAGUCGGGGGAUGACGGUACCGGAAGAAUAAGCACCGGCUAACUACGUGCCAGCAGCCGCGGUAAUACGUAGGGUGCAAGCGUUAAUCGGAAUUACUGGGCGUAAAGCGUGCGCAGGCGGUUUGCUAAGACCGAUGUGAAAUCCCCGGGCUCAACCUGGGAACUGCAUUGGUGACUGGCAAGCUAGAGUAUGGCAGAGGGGGGUAGAAUUCCACGUGUAGCAGUGAAAUGCGUAGAGAUGUGGAGGAAUACCGAUGGCGAAGGCAGCCCCCUGGGCCAAUACUGACGCUCAUGCACGAAAGCGUGGGGAGCAAACAGGAUUAGAUACCCUGGUAGUCCACGCCCUAAACGAUGUCAACUAGUUGUUGGGGAUUCAUUUCCUUAGUAACGUAGCUAACGCGUGAAGUUGACCGCCUGGGGAGUACGUCGCAAGAUUAAAACUCAAAUGAAUUGACGGGGUCAUAGCUGUUUCC